CCUACGGGGGGCUGCAGUGGGGAAUUUUGGACAAUGGGGGCAACCCUGAUCCAGCCAUGCCGCGUGCGGGAAGAAGGCCUUCGGGUUGUAAACCGCUUUUAGCCGGGAAGAAAAGGCGGGGGCUAACACCCUCUGUUUUUGACGGUACCGGCGGAAUAAGCACCGGCUAACUACGUGCCAGCAGCCGCGGUAAUACGUAGGGUGCUGACGUUAAUCGGAGUGACUGGGCGUAAUGCGUGCGGAGGCGGGUGAAAGCCCCGGGCUCAACCUGGGAACGGCAUUGGAAACUGGCUGGCUGGAGUGUGGCAGAGGGGGGUGGAAUUCCGCGUGUAGCAGUGAAAUGCGUAGAGAUGCGGAGGAACACCGAUGGCGAAGGCAGCCCCCUGGGCUGACACUGACGCUCAGGCACGAAAGCGUGGGGAGCAAACAGGAUUAGAUACCCCUGUAGUC
rnacentral:rRNA from 1 species